AACGAACGCUGGCGGCAGGCCUAACACAUGCAAGUCGAGCGAGGACUUCGGUUCUAGCGGCGGACGGGUGAGUAACGCGUGGGAAUGUGCCCUUCUCUACGGAAUAGCCCUGGGAAACUGGGAGUAAUACCGUAUACGCCCUAUUGGGGAAAGAUUUAUCGGAGAAGGAUCAGCCCGCGUUGGAUUAGGUAGUUGGUGGGGUAAUGGCCUACCAAGCCGACGAUCCAUAGCUGGUUUGAGAGGAUGAUCAGCCACACUGGGACUGAGACACGACCCAGACUCCUACGGGAGGCAGCAGUGGGGAAUCUUAGACAAUGGGGGCAACCCUGAUCUAGCCAUGCCGCGUGAGUGAUGAAGGCCUUAGGGUUGUAAAGCUCUUUCAGCUGGGAAGAUAAUGACGGUACCAGCAGAAGAAGCCCCGGCUAACUCCGUG
rnacentral:rRNA from 1 species